GUGAACGCUGGCGGUAGGCCUAACACAUGCAAGUCGAACGGCAGCACAGUAAGAUCUUGCUCUUCCGGGUGGCGAGUGGCGGACGGGUGAGGAAUACAUCGGAAUCUACUUUUUCGUGGGGGAUAACGUAGGGAAACUUACGCUAAUACCGCAUACGACCUACGGGUGAAAGCAGGGGAUCUUCGGACCUUGCUCGAUUGAAUGAGCCGAUGUCGGAUUAGCUAGUUGGCGGGGUAAAGGCCCACCAAGGCGACGAUCCGUAGCUGGUCUGAGAGGAUGAUCAGCCACACUGGAACUGAGACACGGUCCAGACUCCUACGGGAGGCAGCAGUGGGGAAUAUUGGACAAUGGGCGCAAGCCUGAUCCAGCCAUACCGCGUGGGUGAAGAAGGCCUUCGGGUUGUAAAGCCAUUUUGUUGGGAAAGAAAAGAAGCAGGUUAAUACCCCGCUGUUCUGACGGUACCCAAAGAAUAAGCACCGGCUAACUUCGUG
rnacentral:rRNA from 1 species